rfam:Edwardsiella ictaluri 93-146, complete genome.
UGUUGGUUCUCCCGCAAUGCUAACCCGUGAAUUCGGUCAGGUCCGGAAGGAAGCAGCCGCAGCGGGUGACGCGUGUGCCGGGAUGUAGCUGGCAGGG